UAGCGGGGAUGGCUCCCGGGAAGCGGGCCGGCCUCCUGGGCGUCUGGCUCCGGACAGCCGCCUGGCGUCUGGGCCCUGGGUUUUCCGUUCUCUCCCUCGGGUCCCGGAGGGCAGUACCGGUCGCCUGGAGUACCGGGCCGCGACCGUCUGAGCUAGGAGCUGACUCAGCGGCAGUGCCGGAUACAGCCUGACGCCGGGCAAGGUUUGGCCAAACCAUAUGGGAGGCCUAGAACUUUCCUCAGCUCACAGAGGCAGUAGUGGCCCUGCCAGGGCUUGACCCAAGCUGUCUGAUUCUACAGAUCAGCCCACCCACCAGACCCUGGUGACUCCCCAUCACUUACACACCAGUGCACCCUUCUCUCCACAGUGCACCAAGCCAGUGUGACCUCCGACCAGUGCCAUCGGACCCACAGGCACGGAAACAUGCACAAACACCCCGAGCUGUUGGGCCUCCGGCUUGCUCUAGGAAAA